UCAUUGUCAGUCUCCAGCCCAGGGCCCAGGGCCUAUAGGUUAAACCGCUAUAGCUGUCCAGUUCUCCUGGGAAGAGAGUGAGGAUUUCCGGUGGCAGGCUCAAGGCUGCGUACCCAAGGCUAGGGGCUAGGAGAAACGGGUUAGAGGCUGGGGCUGGGUUGGGGGGCCAGGCGCUGGGGUUAGAGGGCCGCAGCUGAGAGUGUGAGAGCUGAGAGGUUGGGGCUGCAGGGAUGGAGUUGCUGGAGGUCUUCAGGGUGAGGUUGGGAGGUGAGGGGAGAAAGAGACUGGGCGAUUGGGAAGGGACAGAAAAGUAGGGAUGUGGGAGGAGGUACUUGCUGAGAGGUGACAGCCCGGCAGUACCGGGCAGACUGGGGGCCCUAGAGCUAAGGCUGGUAGCCAGCCUGACAGAGAAGGGAUGGAUCGGGAACCGGGAAAAGUAAGGAAAUGCUGCUCGAAAAGGCGGAGUGUGGGAGAGACCUGCCCGGUACACAGCGGCGUGGACCCCCAGGAAGACCAGGACCGGAGCACUGAUUGCGGCGUUCGUUCUCCGCGCGCCUCCAGCCUCCCCGCGCGUCGCAUGCUGGCACCCCCGCCCACCGCGCCAGCUGCAGGUCAGACUCUUCAUCCUCGGUCAGCUCCGCACUGGCCACCUUAGCUGCGGAACCCAGGGACUCCCGAGCCGCAAACACAUUGGGGAACUUGCUCCUCCAAGGGAAGGCUGGGCCGGAAAUUGGACCCUGCGCGCAGCCCAGAGGAGCGAAAACUUGUGGAAAUCGGACCUUGCCCUCGGAGUCCUGAGUCAAGGACACGAGUCCCCAAGCGGCACGGAAAACAGGUGGCAUUCAGCAAAUACGUCACGGCGACGACGGAUGCGGCCCUCCUCUUGAGGCGGCCACAAGGUGGAGCUACAGCGCAACCCUGCACCGCGCGCCCGGCCCCUGGACGCCCCCGAGGUGGCUGCUCUCCCGCGGGCCUCCCGCGAGUCCUUCACUGCUGCAGGAUUGAAGUUGACACUUCUGGGCCAGGCAUUCGGAGCUCUUCAAGGCCAAGCCUCUGCUUCCUACCACUCCCAUGAAUUGUCUCUCUCAGUUACAUUCAGCCACAUUUUAUUCCUGGAAACACCCUUUUUCAGACUUCUGGGCUUUACGUGUCCUCUUCCCUCUGAAGGAGUUCCCAUUCCCUGCUUUGUGCAUCUUAGAAGAAGACUUUCAUCCUCUCCUGUAUGAAUCCACUCCUGAUUCUCUCCCAGGCAGGAAAAUGUGUUUAUUGCUCUGGGUUUCCUGAAUCGUCUGCUGCCUAGGCUCUCUACUAGGUGGAAGUGACUUGAGAGCACAGACUAUAUUCUUAUUGCCUAGCACAGGGCUGAGCAAAUGCUUAUCAACAGAAUGAACUCUGCCCUCUCUGAGUGUCCCUGCAGGUGGCUGCCUCUUUGCAGAGGCUGUCCUCACCUCUAGGAACCAGGAUCCAGCAUUGAGUCUCUUCAGUUCAGCCCAGGAGAAGUCACUGCUGUGGGCUGUGAUUCGGGUUGGGAAUACAGAGGCUACAUUCGUG